rnacentral:rRNA from 1 species
AUACGGAGGGGGUUAGCGUUGUUCGGAAUUACUGGGCGUAAAGCGUACGUAGGCGGACUGGAAAGUUGGGGGUGAAAUCCCGGGGCUCAACCCCGGAACUGCCUCCAAAACUUCCAAUCUAGAGAUCGAGAGAGGUGAGUGGAAUUCCAAGUGUAGAGGUGAAAUUCGUAGAUAUUUGGAGGAACACCAGUGGCGAAGGCGGCUCACUGGCUCGAUACUGACGCUGAGGUACGAAAGCGUGGGGAGCAAACAGGAUUAGAAACCCCAGUAGUCC